rnacentral:rRNA from 1 species
UGGGUAUUAUUGCACAAUGGGGGAAACCCUGAUGCAGCGACGCCGCGUGAACGAAGAAGGUAUUCGUAUCGUAAAGUUCUGUCCUAUGGGAAGAUAAUGACAGUACCAUAGAAGAAAGCUCCGGCUAAAUACGUGCCAGCAGCCGCGGUAAUACGUAUGGAGCGAGCGUUGUCCGGAAUUAUUGGGCGUAAAGGGUACGCAGGCGGUUUAAUAAGUCGAAUGUUAAAGAUCGGGGCUCAACCCCGCAAAGCAUUGGAAACUGAUAAACUUGAGUAGUGGAGAAGAAAGUGGAAUUCCUAGUGUAGUAGUGAAAUACGUAGAUAUUAGGAGGAAUACCAGUAGCGAAGGCGACUUUCUGGACACAAACUGACGCUGAGGUACGAAAGCGUGGGGAGCAAAAAGG